rnacentral:rRNA from 1 species
AUGGACCUCGACUCCGCCGUGCUAUGCAGGAGCAGCGCCUUCUUCGCGGCCAUGGCACCCGAGUCCAAUGGCAGUGGCGCCGGCGGCGGGGCCAGGAGGGUCGAGGUGGAUGAGGUGGACAACAUCGCGGUCUUCAGGGACGCCGUGGAGCUCAUGUUCCAGGCCGACAUGCCGUGGUGGCUCGCCAGGGCCGGCGUCUCGCGGGCCAUCGGCGUCCUCGAGGUGAGAAUGAGAUGCACAUCCUCCUUUCCUUGUUCUUAUUUACACCCGUCCCCGCCUAGGCCAUCUCCCCUUGCAGUGGUGAGGCGAUGCUAG